GGGGCAAAGGGUUGUUGCACAGUGGUGGUGCAUCUGCCUUGCAUGCAGAAGGUCCCUGGUUCAGUCCCAGCAUCUCCUG